rnacentral:rRNA from 1 species
UCCGUAGGUGAACCUGCGGAGGGAUCAUUACACAAUAAAAUAUGAAGGCUGUACGCGGCUGUGCUCUCGGGCCAGUUUUGCGGAGGCUGAAUUAUUUAUUACCCUUGUCUUUUGCGCACUUGUUGUUUCCUGGGCGGGUUCGCCCGCCACCAGGACCACAUCAUAAACCUUUUUUAUGCAGUUGCAAUCAGCGUCAGUAUAACAAAUGUAAAUCAUUUACAACUUUCAACAACGGAUCUCUUGGUUCUGGCAUCGAUGAAGAACGCAGCGAAAUGCGAUACGUAGUGUGAAUUGCAGAAUUCAGUGAAUCAUCGAAUCUUUGAACGCACAUUGCGCCCUUUGGUAUUCCAAAGGGCAUGCCUGUUCGAGCGUCAUUUGUACCCUCAAGCUUUGCUUGGUGUUGGGCGUUUUUUGUCUUUGGUUGCCAAAGACUCGCCUUAAAAGGAUUGGCAGCCGGCCUACUGGUUUCGCAGCGCAGCACAUUUUUGCGCUUGCAAUCAGCAAAAGAGGACGGCAAUCCAUCAAGACUCCUUCUCACGUUUGACCUCGGAUCAGGUAGGGAUACCCGCUGAACUUAAGCAUAUCAAUAAGCGGAGGAAAAG